rnacentral:rRNA from 1 species
GUGUCAGCAGCCGCGGUAAUACGUAGGUGGCAAGCGUUAUCCGGAUUUACUGGGUGUAAAGGGCGCGUAGGCGGGAAUGCAAGUCAGAUGUGAAAUCUCCGGGCUUAACCCGGAAACUGCAUUUGAAACUGCAUUUCUUGAGUGUCGGAGAGGUAGAUGGAAUUCCUAGUGUAGCGGUGAAAUGCGUAGAUAUUAGGAGGAACACCAGUGGCGAAGGCGAUCUACUGGACGAUAACUGACGCUGAGGCGCGAAAGCGUGGGGAGCAAACAGGAUUAGAUACCCUGGUAGUCCACGCUGUAAACGAUGAAUACUAGGUGUGGGGGGACUGACCCCCUCCGUGCCGCAGUUAACACAAUAAGUAUUCCACCUGGGGAGUACGACCGCAAGGUUGAAACUCAAAGGAAUUGGCGG